GACCCCACCAGGAGGAAGGGGGACUUGCACUGGAAGAAGACUUUAGAUCUGUAGGUGAAGGUCUUGCCGCUGAGACGCCCCUCGGCAGUGGUGCCGGGGUCCCCAGAGAACACAGCUAAAGAAGACAACCAGGAGGAAUCAACGAUGAAGAAAAGCACAGAAUCUGCCCGUGGGCAGCGGGUCUCAAACGUGGAGCCUUUAACCUAUUGCACCCUGGCUACGAGUCCUGCAGGCUCUCCUCCUCAGACUGCAGCCCGAGGUUUGUGUGCCGUGGUCUGUGCCCCCGAGGACUUACGCAGGCACUGGGGCACCUCGCCUUUCCAGACGCCUUGGCCUUCGCAGGAGAGGAUGGCGGGCUGGGAGAGCUGGAAGCCGUGGGCGCAGCUGUAGCUGAUGCUGGCACCCCAGCGGAAGUCCGUUCCUUCCACCUUCCCAUCCUGGACCGGAGGAGGCUGGCCACACAUGACGGCUGUCAGAGAACAAACAGGAUUCAACAUUCUAGAGUUUCCACCACAACGCAAUGCUCCAAUGUCAUUUUGCAUGACUUCUACAAGGGGGCAAAUUUUUUAAUAGUGAAAUUACUGAGGAAGACAGUGAAUCAAAAGAAUAAAACUUUUAUCCAAUGUUUCCUCAUUAAUUUAGAUCAAGUCUACAAAAGCAAAGUCAAAACAUUUCACACCAUGAAAGUGGAAUAAACAACACAGUCUCAGUAGGUAUAAGAGCAAGAAAGAAAGAAUGCUAUUCCACUGAUGUCUUUUUGUGUGCGUCCGACUUGUUGUGACCCCAUGGACUGUAGCCCCCCAGGCUCCUCUGUCCAUGGGGAUUCUCCAGGCAAGAGUACUAGAGUCGGUUGCGAUGCCCUUACCAGAGGCAAAUCCAGUCAUAAUGUGGUCCUAUGACAUGAGAACAAACGUUGGAGUUUAUAUACACAGAUGGUAAGAAUUUCUCUAUCUGUACUUUUUUCUUUAUAUAAACAUAGCAUAUAGUUUCCAAAAGACAUAGGCUGCUGAUGCACUUGCUGAAGAAUUGAGCACCAACACUUGCGUGGUUAGAGAUGACCCUGUGAGAAACCGCUUUGCCAGGGUUCUGUCACAUCCAGGGGCUUCCCAGGAGUGACGUGCCCACUGGUGCUGGCGUCUGCCUGGCCCACUCCAGCCAUUAUUCUGUGACGCCUGGUCUAAGACCUCCCUGAAGACCCAAGAGCUCCGAGACUUCACACUGGAGGAGGUUUGCCGCUGACAGUCUGGGCACGGAAGGCGGCGGGAGAGGAGACUCAGCUGUAUUUCCUUACCUGCACUUUCUCACGGGUGCUCACACCUUCUUAGAAAGACACACAGACACAACCACACGUGCACGCCUGGAAGCUGGAAACGGGCCCUCCUCUUGCCAUUCACCUUCUCUCCAUGUAUCCACUCAUUCAACAAAGAUUCCUGCAGAACCCCUAAGUGAAGACUCGGGGAACAGUCUAUAGACAGGUCGAGGUCAGGUGACAGGCCCCCAGGUGGGAACGGUGAUGAGUGACGUGCCUCCAGGGAGGAGUGGACAGGGUGGCCAGCAGGAGAAGAGAGAGGUCUCCUCCAUGAGGGCCUGGAUGGCUGUGGAAGGAUUGUUAAUCCAACAGACACUAAACAGAGGGACACGAUCUACACAAAUGGAUCUGAAGUCCAGAAAUCAGACGUUCUAGGGAUAAGCGCCAUGGACACACUCACUGGACUAGAAUGCUCCCAACAGGACAGUGUGAGCUGUAUUAAAGACCCUCUUAGCACCUGUCCCAGAGCUGCAUGGUGUUAAUAACUGCAGCUGGAAAGAAGGACACGAGACAGGGCUCCUCACCCUCUGAUGGGAGGAAACCAGGAUGCGCCAGAACCGCCCCGGCCGGAAGUGGGUAAACGGCCCUCGGGGUGGGGGCUCCUCUGACCUCAAAGACUCGACAGGACGCACCUUCCUCCGAGAUUUCCUGCUACUCCAGCUCCAGCUCUCCCCCCUCCCUCGUCUAACGACGAUAAGACGCCCCUUUCUCCUGUGUGGUCACUGCCGGCCUCCACGUCCUCUCCCGCCCAUCCGAGAAGGCCUGAAGCUCCCUGUGGAUCUAGUGGAGACACUCACCCUGCAGAUCAGCCCUGCAUCAGCGGUCCGCUAGCCCCCAUGGUCCCCCAGCCAUGUGGACGCUUUCUUCCUGCUUGCUGUCUCCCUGGAAAGUCCACCAGCCAAGUCGUGAACCUCCCUGUACCCCUUCCUCGUUGUAGGGCUUCGUUAGUCUCAGCACCCGAGGCCCACCAGGCAUCAGGACACUGGCAGGCUCUGCCACUGUUCUGCCCUAUCUGAUGAUCGGCUCUGACCCACCUCUCCAACCCCGUGAUGAUGGCCACAGACUCAACACAGCCACGCACACCGAGACAGCAGAGCUGGGUUCACAGCACAGACUCCAGAGUCGGCCCUGAAGCCCGAUGGCUCCCAGACCUAACCUGCGACCCUGAGAAUUUACUGCAGCUCUCUGUGAGUCAGUCUCCAGGCUGUAAAACCAAGAUUAAGGUAGUAAGAAAAGGAAGUGAUUUAAUAUUUGCGAAUGAGUUUACAGGAAUGCUGAGCACAUAGAAGGUUUACACGGGUGCUCGCAAACUGAUGUAAAAUGUUAACUCAAUAGACUCUCCACGUGUGAGUGACGCACAAGAGAAGCCCCGACACUCGCCUUUGCAGGUUGGUUUGCUGUGAUUCCAGGUACUGUCCUUGGUGCAGCGGAUGGUGGGGGACGUGGCGGGCUCCAUGGUAUAGCUGGGGUUGCACUGGUAGCUGACCGUCUUGUUGAAGGUGAAAUCGGUCCCGAACUGGAUGCCGUUAGCCAGGGUCCCUGGGUCUCCACAGCUGAUGACUAAUCAGCAGAGAACAGACAAACAGAGAGACACAGUAUCAUCACGGGAUGACUUAUUCCUGGUUCCUGUUUAAGUGCCUCUCCUUAAGCUGCUCUUCAGAGCGAUGAUGCGGUGGCUGAGCACAGCGACACCAGCCUCUCUGGGGGACGGUUUCGCUGGCCGGCACUCAGGAGGCUGCAUGUUUGGAACCGCUUGUUUCUACUCCACUGACGUUGUCUGUGUGGAUGACAGCUGUCACCCGCGUUCUGUCCUUAACCAGACGUCGUGAGGGGUCACCCCACAAGGUCAAGGACAGAGACACAGGCUGAGAUCAGAGAACAGGCUCCUGCACCAUUUCCCUUCAGACUAACUGGUCUACAGAGAGAAGGAACCUUGCUUUUUCUGAACUCAGUUUUGUAAUAUCCAACCCAACCAGCCAGGCAAAGCACUUUUAACCAUAUAAAUAAGAAAGUGAAGAAAAAUCUAAAAGUGCUUAGAAAGUGGUCAUAUUAUCAAACAUACGUAUGACAUAAUCCUUUUUCCCUAGGGAUUAAACAACACAGCCCUCUGUAAAAUCAACUCCUUUUUCUCAGUCAAGUACAAGUCGCUGUGGGGACCUGGAUUUGGCCAGGACGGCGGCCACUCACUUGUGCAGUCGGGGGCCGUGCCGGUCCAGGUCCCAUUGGCGGUGCAGUGGCGAGUGGUCAGCCCUGAGGUCCUGUAGCCGUCCCAGCAGGCGUAGACCACCGAGCUGGAGAACAGCACGCCAUCGCUGCUGAUGAUCUUGCCGUGGGUGGGCGUCCCCGGGUUCCCACAGGACACAGCUGUGGGGAGACAGAACAGCAUGGAGACCCGUUACCACGUGAUAAACUCGAGAGGUCGAGGGCCAUCUGCAUAACAGACUGCACAUUUAUUUAAAAAGUCAUCGGAAGGACACUGUGGUCCUCCCCCCACCCCCACAUCCUCUGCCUGCCUUUUGUCUGUAGAAAAACUGUAGCCAAACAAUGAGUUUAAUCAGAGAAGUGAGAAAAUGCAGAACCAAAGAAAGCAGUCCAACAAGACAAAAACAGUUUAGUCAUUAAGUCAAGGACCUUUAACAGUUCCUCCUCCAGGGCCAUAGAUAAAACUGUGAGCCAUGUCCUGUGAGCUCUUUUGUAGAAACAGAAACCCCCACCAGGUGGAGAAGUUAACUGCAUGAUGACCAGACUGUAGCCAUGACACAGGCUGCCACAGUGUAAGAAGUGGCCUCAGGGAAAUGGGAACAAACCGAUCCUGGAACUGAAGACUGACUGUACUUAAACAACCAAACGACGCUGGUCAGACCACCGGUGACCGACCUGCAGAUGACUCUCAGAGCUAUCUGUGCUGUUUCUGCAUGUAGCUCCCUCCUCCUGUCUAUAAAAGCUCUGUAUUAGUGC